AUGCCCAAUCGUACCUCAAGGGAAGCUGAGAAAGGUAGUUCUUUACCUGGGCAAAGUGCAGCUCUAAACAAAAUCGAAGUUCAGUUACUGAGAAGAAGGGAAGAUGGGUAUUGGUUGGGUAAAUGGCAGUAUCUACCAUGGUUAGCUACAUUUUUCUCUUUCCUCUUUUAUAGAAUAAAGACAAGUACACAUGUUGCAGUAGAGCAUAAAAAGCCCUACCGUUGGCCAGGUAGCCAUAAACUCUGUGUCUGUCUCAUCUGUGGUUUUGUCUUCGGUUCCUCCAAAAGGAACCAAGCACCUCUCGCAUGGAGAUGUCACGAUCCCCAUCUUAUAGGCACGUACUGAAGAAGAAUUUCAUUCAAGACACAAAGAAAUGACGAAGCUGUUUGGGGAACUGCCUGAGUCCUUUCGCUGCUCAAACCUCUGAUUCAUCCGCCCUUUCUGUAAAGACAGAAAUGACUUCUCACGUAAUUGAAGGUGGCCAUGAGGACAGGAGAACACAGGAGGUGGCCGGGGAUGCACAGCAUGAAGCUGGACAGCUCCUGGAGACCCUGUCAUCCCACAGAGGCUCAGAGAGGGCACAAGGCCUUGCUGUUGUCACAUAGCAAGACGGUGCCCCAGUGCUGUGGGAGGUGGCAGGAAACCAGAGUCCCGGGGCCAGUGCUGCCCUCCUGAAGGUCCUUGGCAAAGUCCCGACUCUGCUUGGAGCCUCAGUGUUCUCAUCCGUAAAAUGGCUAUGGACAUGAGCCCAGUGCAUUUCAAACACUUUUUUUAGUGGUUCAAUCCUAUUUGUUUUUCAAGCAAAACCAUGCAAGGAAUCCCCAAAACAUACUUUAAAAUGAAAAAUGCAGUCACUUUCCUCCUGGAAAACCCAGAUGCGAAAGGAGCCCAGGAAGGCUGUGGUUCCACGAAAGGCUGUUUGAACUUCAGGCACGAGCUGAGCAUUGAGACACUUCCUAGUGGAAUCUGAAGUCCUGCCAUCGAGGGAAGCUGUUCUUUUACCCCCCACCUGAACUCUGACUGUGGUGGCCCUGAGCAAUAGCAGGGUGUGCCCCGUCCCCCAUCCCGGCCCCACCACCACACACAGGGCUCCCCAGUGCAGA
rnacentral:lncRNA from 1 species